UAAUUAAAACUUUCAACAACGGAUCUCUUGGUUCUGGCAUCGAUGAAGAACGCAGCGAAAUGCGAUAAGUAAUGUGAAUUGCAGAUUUCAGUGAAUCAUCGAAUCUUUGAACGCACAUUGCGCCCUCUGGUACUCCGGAGGGCAUGCCUGUUCGAGCG
rnacentral:rRNA from 1 species